rnacentral:rRNA from 1 species
CGAGCGGCGGAUGGGUGAGUAACACGUGGGGAACCUGCCCCUAAGUCUGGGAUACCAUUUGGAAACAGGUGCUAGUACCGGAUAAUAAAGCAGAUCGCAUGAUCAGCUUUUGAAAGGCGGCGUAAGCUGUCGCUAAAGGAUGGCCCCGCGGUGCAUUAGCUAGUUGGUAAGGUAACGGCUUACCAAGGCGACGAUGCAUAGCCGAGUUGAGAGACUGAUCGGCCACAUUGGGACUGAGACACGGCCCAAACUCCUACGGGAGGCAGCAGUAGGGAAUCUUCCACAAUGGACGCAAGUCUGAUGGAGCAACGCCGCGUGAGUGAAGAAGGUUUUCGGAUCGUAAAGCUCUGUUGUUGGUGAAGAAGGAUAGAGGUAGUAACUGGCCUUUAUUUGACGGUAAUCAACCAGAAAGUCACGGCUAACUACGUGCCAGCAGCCGCGGUAAUACGUAGGUGGCAAGCGUUGUCCGGAUUUAUUGGGCGUAAAGCGAGCGCAGGCGGAAAAAUAAGUCUAAUGUGAAAGCCCUCGGCUUAACCGAGGAACUGCAUCGGAAACUGUUUUUCUUGAGUGCAGAAGAGGAGAGUGGAACUCCAUGUGUAGCGGUGGAAUGCGUAGAUAUAUGGAAGAACACCAGUGGCGAAGGCGGCUCUCUGGUCUGCAACUGACGCUGAGGCUCGAAAGCAUGGGUAGCGAACAGGAUUAGAUACCCUGGUAGUCCAUGCCGUAAACGAUGAGUGCUAAGUGUUGGGAGGUUUCCGCCUCUCAGUGCUGCAGCUAACGCAUUAAGCACUCCGCCUGGGGGAGUACGACCGCAAGGUUGAAACUCAAAGGAAUUGACGGGGGCCCGCACAAGCGGUGGAGCAUGUGGGUUUAAUUCGAUGCAAC